UACAGAGGUCCCAAGCGUUGUUCGGAUUCACUGGGCGUAAAGGGUGCGUAGGCGGGUCGACAAGUCCGCUGUGAAAGCCCGGGGCUCACCCCCGGAGGGUCGGUGGAUACUGUCGGUCUUGAAGGUGCUAGGGGGAGAUGGAAUUACCGGUGUAGCGGUGAAAUGCGUAGAUAUCGGUAGGAACACCAGUGGCGAAGGCGGUCUCCUGGGGCACUCUUGACGCUGAGGCGCGAAAGCUGGGGGAGCGAACGGG
rnacentral:rRNA from 1 species